rnacentral:sRNA from 2 species
AAGGCCUCGGUUUAACUCAAUUGCAGACUCUGAUAUAAUUUCCUCUAGUUCGUCGUUGAAUUGUUUUGAAGCACAAACAUUCUGCGAGUAUGACCGCCAUUCAUCUGCUGCAAUUUUAAAGCUAUCCUGUAACUCUGCAGCUCCAUGGAUUGUGAACGAAAGGGUGUUCUUGGUCCGAAGCAAUAAUUCUACGAGCCCUAGUCGCAUGUUCGAGCUCCGCGGUCUCCAGAACUUAUGCUCCGGGAAACGGACAGAAAUGUUAAGACACUUGAUGGCGCGAGAUCCGAAUCUCCGGAUUAGAUGGCACAGAUGGUUAUAGCGACCCUCAUUGUAUGCAAAGAGGAUAUCUUUACGGACUUCAGCUCUCUCCCCUGCAUCCCACAUCCGCUCCUCCACUAAUUCCGACCUCUGGGUAAUUUUCACGUCUGCGACAAGUCUUUGCCUCACUCUUUCGGCCAAAAACCCAUUGACGGAAAUAUUCGGCUGGGAAUAACGUCUGUUAUCCCCAAGCUGGUAUAUAUGAUAGCUAUCAUAUUGCGAUACGGUGAUAGGUCCUAUCUGGAAGUGAAUCCACACGUUCUUGUGCAGCACUACAUGUAAUGCUUCCUCACGAAUCUGUCUAUUAAGCUGCAGAAUCUGAAGACAUAGCACUUUGUCCAGAGGCUUGUUUAGAUCAUCGGAGGCAUCCAUGCUUGGGUCCACUACGAGUAAGAACGAAUAAAUCUCGUAUCGCAAUUCGAUUGGUAAGGAUAGAAAUCCUCUCCGGAGUCGGAAACGUGCUUCGGUAGAUUGGGCGAGAGGAGGACCGGUUUCUAUGUUAGAGGAGUCGGUUAACGAAAAGGAUGAUGAUAAGAACCUCUGAGAUACCAGCAUACGCUUUCUAGCGGUGUUGCUUGAUGAACUUGGAACUUGCAGAGGCUCCAUUCCAUAUUGUACAACCGGGGUUUCCAGCGGUGUUUGCGGGAG